AUUUCCCCUUGAGUUUGUGUGGAACUUUCUUGUCACACAGGACCCCUGAUGCACGCCUCCACUUUGACCACCCCGCUCCUAUACGAUGGGUGACGUCCCCGUCAAUCUCACCGUCCCCUUGAAUCACAGACCCAAGAUAUCGGACGCUAUCCCUCUUGGCGAUGGCCUGAGAACCAAUCAUCACGUCCCUGCCUACCUCGCUCGGCUCGGCG
rnacentral:lncRNA from 1 species